rnacentral:rRNA from 1 species
AUUGAACGCUGGCGGAAUGCUUUACACAUGCAAGUCGAACGGCAGCACAGGUGCUUGCACCUGGUGGCGAGUGGCGAACGGGUGAGUAAUACAUCGGAACGUGCCCAGACGUGGGGGAUAGCUCGGCGAAAGCCGAAUUAAUACCGCAUACGAUCUACGGAUGAAAGCGGGGGAUCGCAAGACCUCGCGCGUUUGGAGCGGCCGAUGGCAGAUUAGGUAGUUGGUGGGGUAAAGGCUUACCAAGCCUGCGAUCUGUAGCUGGUCUGAGAGGACGACCAGCCACACUGGGACUGAGACACGGCCCAGACUCCUACGGGAGGCAGCAGUGGGGAAUUUUGGACAAUGGGCGAAAGCCUGAUCCAGCCAUUCCGCGUGCAGGAUGAAGGCCCUCGGGUUGUAAACUGCUUUUGUACGGAACGAAAAGCCCUCCUCUAAUACAGGGGGGUCAUGACGGUACCGUAAGAAUAAGCACCGGCUAACUACGUG